UUUUCAAAAGCCCAGUGGUUAGGGUACUCACCUGUGGGGUGGGAGACCUGGGUUCAAGUCCCUGCUCCAAAU
rnacentral:tRNA from 1 species